GAUGGCCUAGUGGUAGAGCAUCUGCCACAGAUGCAGGAGGUCAUGGGUUAGAACCCCGGUUAAUUCA